rnacentral:rRNA from 1 species
AUGAGUUGGCGGAUGCGUGGGACCUGAUCUGGUAGUAGCCAAGCGAUGGGGUGACGCAGGAAGGUAGCUGGGCCAGUCAGUGGUUGUACUGGUGUAAGAGUGUAGGCCGUGACAUAGGCAAAUCCGUGUCACAUUAAGGCUGAGACUUGAUGCAUACCCGUUGUGGGGAAUUCAGUGAUCCUAUGCUGCCGAGAAAAGCCUCUAGUGAGUUCAUACACGGCCCGUACCCCAAACCGACACAGGUGAUCAGGUAGAGAAUACCAAGGCGAUCGAGAGAACUGUGGUUAAGGAACUCGGCAAAAUGCCCCCGUAACUUCGGGAGAAGGGGGACCAUGCCCGGUGAACAUCUUCACGGUGGGAGCUGGGUGUGGUCGCAGAGACCAGAGAGAAGCGACUGUUUACUAAAAACACAGGUCCGUGCGAAGACGUAAGUCGAUGUAUACGGACUGACGCCUGCCCGGUGCUGGAAGGUUAAGAGGACCGGUUAGCCGUAAGGCGAAGCUGAGAAUUUAAGCCCCAGUAAACGGCGGUGGUAACUAUAACCAUCCUAAGGUAGCGAAAUUCCUUGUCGGGUAAGUUCCGACCUGCACGAAUGGCGUAACGACUUCUCUGCUGUCUCGACCACAGACUCGGCGAAAUUGCACUACGAGUAAAGAUGCUCGUUACGCGCGGCAGGACGAAAAGACCCCGGGACCUUUACUAUAGCUUGGUAUUGGCGUUCGAUUCGGUUUGUGUAGGAUAGGUGGGAGACUGUGAAGCAUGCACGCCAGUGUGUGUGGAGUCGUUGUUGAAAUACCACUCUGAUCGUAUUGGACGUCUAACCUCGGCCCAUGAUCUGGGUUAGGGACAGUGCCUGGUGGGUAGUUUAACUGGGGCGGUUGCCUCCUAAAGAGUAACGGAGGCGCCCAAAGGUUCCCUCAGCCUGGAUGGCAAUCAGGUGUUGAGUGCAAGUGCACAAGGGAGCUUGACUGUGAGACUGACACGUCGAGCAGGGACGAAAGUCGGGACUAGUGAUCCGGCACCGGCAAGUGGAUCGGUGUCGCUCAACGGAUAAAAGGUACCCCGGGGAUAACAGGCUGAUCUUCCCCAAGAGUCCAUAUCGACGGGAUGGUUUGGCACCUCGAUGUCGGCUCGUCGCAUCCUGGGGCUGGAGUAGGUCCCAAGGGUUGGGCUGUUCGCCCAUUAAAGCGGCACGUGAGCUGGGUUUAGAACGUCGUGAGACAGUUCGGUCUCUAUCCGCCGCGCGCGUAAGAAACUUGAGGAAGGCUGUCCCUAGUACGAGAGGACCGGGACGGACGAACCUCUGGUGUGCCAGUUGUUCCACCAGGAGCAUGGCUGGUUAGCUACGUUCGGAAGGGAUAACCGCUGAAAGCAUCUAAGCGGGAAGCCUGUUCCAAGAUGAGGUUUCUCACCACCUUGCGUGGUUAAGGCCCCCUACAGACCAUGGGGUUGAUAGGCCGGAACUGGAAGCGCAGCAAUGCGUGGAGGUGACCGGUACUAAUAGGCCGAGGGCUUAC